CCUACGGGUGGCAGCAGUGGGGGAUAUUGCACAAUGGGGGGAACCCUGAUGCAGCGACGCCGCGUGGGGGAAGAAGCGCCUCGGCGCGUAAAGCGCUGUCAGCAGGGAAGAAAAUGACGGUACCUGAAGAAGAAGCCCCGGCCAACUUCGUUCCAGCAGCCGCGGUAAUACGUAGGGGGCAAGGGUUAUCCGGAUUUAUUGGGUGUAAAGGGGGCGCAGACGGCGAUGCAAGCCAGGAGGGAAAGCCCGGGGCCCAACCGAGGGACUGCUAGUGGAACCGCGUGGCGGGAGUGCAGGAGGGGAAGGCGGAAUUCCUGGUGUAGCGGUGAAAUGCGUAGAUAUCAGGAGGAACACCGGUGGCGAAGGCGGCCUACUGGACUGCAACUGACGUUGAGGCCCGAAAGCGUGGGGAGCAAACAGGAUUAGAUACCCGUGUAGUC
rnacentral:rRNA from 1 species